rnacentral:lncRNA from 1 species
AGAAGGGGGUGAGGGUGGGAGUUGGGGUGGGGGGACAAUGAUGUAAGUCACCAUCCCACUGCCAAGGCCCGAGAGCCAGGUUCACCAAAGUCUGAGGGCAGGAGAAGAUGGAUGUCCCAGCUCAGGCAGAGAAUGAAUUCCCCCUACCUCUGCCCUUUGUUUUGCUCAGGCCCUCAACUGACUGGAUGCUGCCUGCCCACAUUGGUGAGGGUGAUCUUCUUUAGAGUCUACCGUGGAAAUGCUAAUCUCUUCCUGAAACACCCACACAGAAUCCUCUUUGCGAUUAGUGGAGUCGGAUUUUCCAAGCUGCAAAUGUCAGCAAAAGCUCAACCCUCCAGCCCUCUCCUAAAUCAACUGCAGAGGCCAGCUUGCUGUUCCAGCAGGUCCCAAUGUGCCCAAGUGCACCUGCGGUCACAGACGUUCUGGCUCUGCUCCAGCUGAGGCGUGAGCCCCCAGAGGCCUGAGUUAUGUGAAAUUUCUGCUUAUUAGAGAGUGUUUCGCAGCUGA